ACGAACGCUGGCGGCGUGCCUAACACAUGCAAGUCGAGCGGGGACAUACGACGGAGCAGAAGUUUCGGAUGGAAGCGAAGAUGUAUGUUCUAGCGGCGGACGGGUGAGUAACGCGUGAGCAACCUGUCCUUCGACAGGGGGAUAACACAGCGAAAGUUGUACUAAUACCGCAUAAGACCACAUUGGGACAUCCCAGAGGGGUCAAAGGAGCAAUCCGAUGAAGGGUGGGCUCGCGUCCGAUUAGAUAGUUGGUGAGGUAACGGCCCACCAAGUCGACGAUCGGUAGCCGACCUGAGAGGGUGAUCGGCCACAUUGGGACUGAGACACGGCCCAAACUCCUACGGGAGGCAGCAGUGGGGAAUAUUGGGCAAAUGGGGGAAACCCUGACCCAGCAACGCCGCGUGAGGGAAGAAGGUUUUCGGAUCGUAAACCUCUGUCCUUGGUGAAGAGUAAGAGACGGUAGCCAAGGAGGAAGCCCCGGCUAACUACGUGCCAGCCGCCGC
rnacentral:rRNA from 1 species